ACGCAAUUUGUUUGAAAAAAAGUUGCCAUUUUGUGAUGCGCAGUCCGCUUGUUUGUUUUCUACGGCUGUAGGUCGAGUGCAACAGAGUGGAUCUAGUUAAUUUUACAGUUUCCGGAGCAAUUUUCGAUAAUAAAACGGAACGAACGGUUCAGAAAAAUCAACACCAUGGACCACAGCUGCUUUAACUAGUUACCAGGGAACACAGAUCCGUUCAGUUCAUAAAUCUGAGCCAAUAAAGCAAUGAUAAGAAGAAUAUUUCCUCUCAUUUGGCACGUCUGUCCGAAUCGAAAAGCUGCUAGAAGAAGAACAGCCCUGGAAGAAGGAAAAAAUGGGCUCAGCAUCGGGCACAGUUACCGGGGAGGUAGCACCAGAGGAUCAUCCGGAACUGGCCGAAUUAAAAUCUAUUUCAACAUAAUCUUCUAACAAUUCUCACAGCGAAUUCAAAACAAAAGUGUACAUCCAUUGUCAUCAUCCAAUAGAAAUACCGGAACCAUCCAAUAGACAUCCGGAACAAGUUCAAAAUUGAAAAAAAAAUUCUUUCAUCCCUAAACUUUUUUUCAAUAAAAGCUCUUAUGAAAGU